CAGGAGAAGGUGCCCGUACCGCAAACCGACACAGGUAGGCGAGAAGAGAAUUCUAAGGCGCGCGGAAGAACUCUCGUUAAGGAACUCGGCAAAAUGACCUCGUAACUUCGGGAGAAGAGGUGCCUCGGUAGGGUGAAUAGCCCGAGGGGGCCGCAGUGAAAAGGCCCAAGCGACUGUUUAGCAAAAACACAGGUCUGUGCGAAGCCGUAAGGCGAAGUAUACGGGCUGACGCCUGCCCGGUGCUGGAAGGUUAAGGGGAGUGGUUAGGGGCAACCCGAAGCUGUGAACCGAAGCCCCAGUAAACGGCGGCCGUAACUAUAACGGUCCUAAGGUAGCGAAAUUCCUUGUCAGGUAAAUUCUGACCCGCACGAAUGGCGUAACGACUUGGGCGCUGUCUCAACGAGAGAUCCGGUGAAAUUUUAAUACCUGUGAAGAUGCAGGUUACCCGCGACAAGACGGAAAGACCCCAUGGAGCUUUACUGCAGCUUGAUAUUGAAUUUGGGUACGAUCUGUACAGGAUAGGUGGGAGCCG
rnacentral:rRNA from 1 species